AUUGAACGCUGGCGGCAUGCCUUACACAUGCAAGUCGAACGCGAAAGCGGGGCAACCCGCAAGUAGAGUGGCGAACGGGUGAGUAAUACAUCGGAACGUACCCAGUAGCGGGGGAUAACCUCUCGAAAGAGAGGCUAAUACCGCAUACGACCUACGGGUGAAAGAGGGGGAUCGCAAGACCUCUCACUAUUGGAGCGGCCGAUGUCGGAUUAGCUAGUUGGUGGGGUAACGGCCACCAAGGCGACGAUCCGUAGCUGGUCUGAGAGGACGGCCAGCCACACUGGAACUGAGACACGGUCCAGACUCCUACGGGAGGCAGCAGUGGGGAAUCUUGCGCAAUGGCCGAAAGGCUGACGCAGCGACGCCGCGUGGGGAUGAAGGCC
rnacentral:rRNA from 1 species